rnacentral:misc_RNA from 1 species
GUGAAUCAUCAAAUUUUUGAACGCAAAUUGCACUCUCCUCGGAGAGUAUGCCGGUUUGAGGGGCAGCCUAUAAAAAUCGACAUCGUUGCUGUUGCGCGGUGGCGUGCGUCGGAAAUUGGGUCAUCUUAAAGCCUUUUGAUUUAAGCGACUUAAAAUUUUCUUUUUGGGUCCAUGAACGUUUCGAAGAUUUAUUUCUUUACACGUUUAAGGGUAUCGAUUUUUAUUAGACGUGACCAUCAUAUCGGAUCGCUUCCAGAAUCUUUCAUUAACUGACCGCAGACAGGUAAGA